GACGAACGCUGGCGGCGUGCCUAAUACAUGCAAGUAGAACGCACAGUUUAUACCGUAGCUUGCUACACCAUAGACUGUGAGUUGCGAACGGGUGAGUAACGCGUAGGUAACCUGCCUGGUAGCGGGGGAUAACUAUUGGAAACGAUAGCUAAUACCGCAUAAUAUUAAUUAUUGCAUGAUAAUUAAUUGAAAGGUGCAAUUGCACCACUACCAGAUGGACCUGCGUUGUAUUAGCUAGUAGGGGAGGUAACGGCUCACCUAGGCGACGAUACAUAGCCGACCCGAGGAGGGGAACGGCCGACCCGGGACGGGGGCACGGGCCAGACCUCGUCGGGAGGCAGCAGGAAGGAAGCUUCGGGAAGUGGCGGAAGGCAGACCGGGCCACGCCGCGGUAGGGGAGGAAGGUUUCGGAGCGGAAAGGUCUGUUGGAAGAGAAGAACGGGUGUGAGAGUGGAAAGUUCACACUGUGACGGUAUCUUACCAGAAAGGGACGGCUAACUACGUG
rnacentral:rRNA from 1 species